rnacentral:lncRNA from 1 species
CAUCUAUGUACUAUUUCAGUGGUUUACAUAAUUUUAGGACGUUUUACUUACUCGUAAAAAUAAACGAAAUAUUUAAUAUCAAUAAAUAUAAGAAUAUAUAUAUAUAGUAGUGAGUACUGAUAAGUAUAAUUUUCAAACUGAUGGUAAGUGUAACCUCUUACAAUAAUACAAAGCUACCCUUUCGAUUUUAAUAUUGUGGUUACAUCUUUAUACUUUUUAUACACAAAUGACGUUUAUACUUCACCAAUUAUUUUAUCAUUUAUUCUAAUAUACUAAAUUUAUAGAAUGUAUUUUGUAUGGGAGUUAAUUAUCUAUCACUUUUAUUUUUUUUUUUAUUUUUUAUUUUUUUAAUGUAGAUAUACAUGUAAAUAAAAAAAAUAGAGUACAUAUUGAUCAACGGAUUGAUAUAAAAAUAAGACAGUGUGACGAAUUUGUAGAAAUAGAUUUAUUUACAACAAAAUUAACAAAAAAAAGUACAUAUAGGCCAAAUAAAAAUAGAUAUCAAUACAAAUAUCAUAAAAAAGUCGUUUCCCAAAAACGAAUGGUUUGUCUGCUUUAAAGAUGGACAAGAAAUAUGCAAAAUGAAAUUAUCCUUUUAUAAAAUUCAAAAAUAUAAAUGUCCUAACGAAUGUAUGUUCAUACAAGAUGGUUUAGAAAUAUGGAAAAAUAAAUCAGAAGAUAUGAAAAAAGAAAAAAAUUGAUUAUCAUCAAAUUCACAAAAUCUUUGACGAUGAUUACCAUAAUCUAUCACUCAUAAACAUGGAUACGGAUAUGUAUGAUAUAAGUUUGACGCAAAAAUUAAGACUAAUCAGUUUUGUUUUAGAACAAGAAAUAUUCGUAUUCGAUUUGUAUACAUACGUGCGUAAGUAUAUGUACGCCAAAGAGUUAAUGGGUGAAUGGUUCUUGAGCUUUUUAUGUUUUAAAAAUAAUCACGAGUAUGAUGCUAUCGAUAUAGAAACAAUAAUUGAACGAAAUAUUCACAGAGAUAUAAAUAUACCCAUUUUAAAUAUACUUAGAAUAGUUGUUGAUAGUAAUAAUAAUACAAAUGCUACUAUUAUUUACAUGUAUGAAAAUGAAAAAUAUAGUUUAAGUAUUCAUUCAGAGCAAUACCUAUCGUAUAUUAUUGAUGCCAUAACAAUUUUUACUAACGAGCUAAAGGUUUUAAAAGAAUCAUAUGGAGAAAAAAUAGAAAUGCGAAAAAAUAUUAUCAUGCAAGAGACGAAUAUGAAAAAAAUUGAUCGGAAAAAAAAGGCUGUUAUCUCCCAGAUUUCGGCGAAACAUACCGAAGAGCGCCCACAAAAUGAUUAAGGAAAUGUAUACUGAUAAUACUAAUGCUGAUAUCUUAAAAAAAAAAAAAGACGAGUUUUUAACGGAUGUAUUAAUAGAUAAAAAGUGACUAUAAGCAUAAAAAAAAAAAAAAAAAAAAAUUAUUAAAAUAUGAUAAUUUUGAAUUAAAAAAUUAAAAAAGAAAAUAGAACCACAUACAUUAAAUUAAUUGACAUACUACAUGUGUAUCUAAUGCAUAGAAAAAGUUGUAUAGUCAUUACUUCCAUAUUCGCAGAUUGUGUCACUAAUUCUCUCUUUUUAUAUCCUGUGCUGUUUUUUUUGUUUUACCGAUUUUUUUUUUAUUUAUAUACAAUAUUUUUUUUGCAAAAACAUGUGUUAUGAUAUAUUACUUUUCAUUAUAACACAUUGUGAGUAAAAAAAAUAAAAUUAAAUAGUUGCAAAACGUUUAAAAAUUA